CUCUGCGGCCACAAAAUACAGCAGAAGUAACUGGCCUGUGUAAGCGGAUGGGCUCGGCCUCAAGGACCGGGUGCUCGGCUGAAAAAAAAAGCUCGCGGCGAUCACCGAUGCCAGGGUUCUCCAGAAACGGAGCCCAUCUAACCAAUGCCCAGCACACUCGCUCGGCUCCACACACGAGACCACCUCCGACCCGCACUAAGUCGGCCAACUGCACUCUGGAGGCGGCGGCAGCCAGCGAGGGAGAAAGGGAACUUGAGAAGGGGAAGGCUGUCCCGGGACCCCGAGGAGGACAGCCCCGCUACCGGGAACGGGGUGCGGCAUAAAACACCUCCGGCUUAGGGCUGACCCUCCCUGACCCCUGGAGGCCCAGGCGGGGCGGCUGGGGGUGACGCGGCAGGGGUCUCCGCGCCCAGGCUCCCGCGGAGCACCCACACGUGGAGGUUCCCACUUUGGGGUCGCGGCCGCAGCAGCACCGGGCGGGGUGCUGUCCGCGCUGCCCGCAUACGGCCGCGGCCUGAGUGGAGACGCCUGCCCCCAGCCCCGCGGCCUCGGCCCCCGUCCGCCCUCCCUCCCUGCUCGGCGGCCUCGUACUCACGCUGACUUCAUGGCAGCAGGCUCCACGCCGCUCAAACGCGCGCGCAGGACGGCUGGCUGGCGAAGACUGUGGGACGUUAGGACCGGCAGCAGGAACGGGGACUCCGCGGCUAAGGCGCGGUGCUCUGCGAAGCUGGCGGCGACGCUAAGAGCCCAGGUGAGCUCCCGCCUGGCGCAUUUCAAACGGGCCAAUCAGCGCCCGUCCGCAGGGAGAAGCCGGACCUCCGCGGAAGUGACUGAGCUGCCGGAAGUGGCGCUUGUCUCCUAGGCGACCGACGCUGAAAGGGCCACGGAGUCGUGUGUCAGGGCUGGAGGGAGAUCUUGAGUCUCGUCCUACCUGACGAGAAAUACCCACAGGUGUGGAGGGGCUGGCCCCCUUCACCUGGGUCUCGACUCCUGUUUUGUUCUACGGUUCCCAUUGCAGUGCUGUGACCCCCAGAAGCUCAGGAAAACCACUGACUUCCUGGUGUUGCCAACAGGCAGACAGGAGAUGCAGCCAGUCCUUACCCUGUAGAAGAUGGGGAGGGAGUCCCAGGUGUACGGAUAAGCAAAGGCGAGGACACGAAUCACCUUACAGAGUCUGGGCUUCUGGAUUUCAAGAAACCUAAAUCAGGGAAGGAAAGUGGGGGAGGAAAUGGAAUGAAAAGAGUCUCAGCAAAUUGCACACGCACGUGCGUGCACACCGAGGGCCUGGUCAUCAACAGAGGACAAGCAUUUUUGUGCAAGCUCCUGUGGCCAGCAGCUUCUCCACCACCCUCGCCCAUUCCUCCCCACCCCAAUGGAAGUGACAAAACUUCAGAUGCGAAAAGAUCUCCAGAGACCUGGCCAUGAGAAGCAGUGGUGUCCAGACUAAGCCAGAAAGGAGGCGCUGGGCAGAAACCCUUCGAGGGCCAAGUUAUGUAACUGCCAAAGAAUCUUUUAAAACUCUAGUUGCUACAGGGACAGGGAACAGGUCGGGGGAAUUGGGGGAUCCACUGCCACAGACUCUUGAGGGGCACACUCUGCAAAGGCUGAGAUGCACCCAUCUAGUUGGAGCCCAGGUAUUAUCAUGCAGGAGACCUGGGUUCGAGUAGGUGUUUGAUCCUUGGAGAGCUUUCUGGAAUAUUUAUACCACACACAGGGAUACUUGGCUUGGGAAAACUAAAUAAACGUGAAGUCUUUC